rnacentral:lncRNA from 10 species
GGUAGCUUCAGGCUGAUUUCAUACAUAUUCACACUGUGCAAGCCACUGUCACUCUAUAAAGUGUUUAGGACCCUGGACCUCUGGCUUGGCAGUGUCCAAAACUGCUAAAUGUUGGAUUGAGGGAUGCUCACACUGGAAGAGCAGAUGGAAAGUGGAUAGGGAUGGGAGACCUGGUGACUGUGGGGCGGUAAGUAGAAUCUUUGAGACAGACUGAAACAUUAUCCCAGAAAAGAAGUUCCAGAGGCAAAGGGCCAGCAGGUGUCCUCACUAGAAAAGAGCAAGAAAGAUAAAUCUUGCUGAAUUAAUCUUCCCUACUGUUCCUGGCUGUUCUUGACAGAUCUUUUCACCUGGACCCUCCUGCCCUCAACCAUGACUUCCCCCUACCUAGACUCAGCUUUAUCCGCUCUGAUCCUUCUCUGCUUUCCUUCCAUGGUCAGCUAUUGUUUAUCAAGCAGAAAAGUCUCUUUAUAAGUAGGCCUGCAGAUCUUCCUCUGUGGAGCAGUUUUCAGAGCCUUUGGAGUGAGACAGACAUGAGGCAAUAGUUCCAGGAUUUAAAAAAAAAGAAGGCUGGGUGUGAUGGCUCACGCCUGUAAUCCCAGCACUUUGGGAGGCCAAGGUGGGCGGAUCAUGAGGUCAGGAGGUCGAGACCACCCUAACCAACUUGGUGAAACUCCGUCUGUACUAAAAAUAAAAAAAUUAGGCGGGCAUGGUGGCGCGCACCUGUAAUCGCAGCUACUCAGGAGGCUGAGGCAGGAGAAUCACUUGAACCCAGGAGACAGAGGUUGCAGUGAGCCGAGAUCGUGCCAC